AUGCUCACUUUGGCAGCAUUCACGCUAAAAUUGAAACAAUAGAGAAGUUAGCAUGGUCCUUGCACAGGAUGACACAGAAAUUCUUGAAGCAUCUCAUAUUUUG